rnacentral:rRNA from 1 species
UACGGGGGGGGCAAGCGUUGUUCGGAAUUACUGGGCGUAAAGGGCUCGUAGGCGGCCAACUAAGUCAGACGUGAAAUCCCUCGGCUUAACCGGGGAACUGCAUCUGAUACUGGAUGGCUUGAGUUCGGGAGAGGGAUGUAGAAUUCCAGGUGUAGCGGUGAAAUGCGUAGAUAUCUGGAGGAAUACCGGUGGCGAAGGCGGCAUCCUGGACCAUUACUGACGCUGAGGCGCGAAAGCUAGGGGAGCAAACGGG